UUAGUGGCGGACGGGUGAGUAACGCGUGGAAAACCUGCCGUAUACUGGGGGAUAACACUUAGAAAUAGGUGCUAAUACCGCAUAAGCGCACAGCUUCGCAUGAAGCGGUGUGAAAAACUCUGGUGGUAUACGAUGGUUCCGCGUCUGAUUAGCUAGUUGGUGGGUAAUGGCCUACCAAGGCAACGAUCAGUAGCCGGCCUGAGAGGGUGAACGGCCACAUUGGGACUGAGACACGGCCCAAACUCCUACGGAAGGCAGCAG
rnacentral:rRNA from 1 species